rnacentral:ncRNA from 1 species
UCCGUCAACUAAUGGGCUACUAGUUUUUUUACAUAAUUACAGCAGAACUAAAACUGCUUAAGUGACGGAAUAUUUUAAGAAACAUUUGGCGCUAUCAGAUGUGGCGAAAGCCUGCGGAAUAUAUUGGGUCAACAAAUUUAGCAUUUAACUGUUAGGAAUAGCGCUCCUAGCAGUUUUUU